AAAUUAAAGUUUAAAAUUUAAAUUAUAAAUUUUAAAUUUUAAAUUUAAAUUUUGAUAUUUUAAAUUUUUGAAAUUUAAAAUUUGAUAUUUUAUAUUUUUUUAAAUUUAAAUAUGAUCUUAAAUUUAAAGUUUGAAAUUUAAAAUUUAAAAUUUUGAAUUUAAAAUUUGAGAUUUUAAAUUUCAAAGUUAAAAUUUUAAAUUUAGAAAUAUAAAUUUAAAAAUUUAAAAAUUUAAAUUCAAAUAUAAUAAGUGGAUAAUAUCAUUAUUUUUUAUUUACAAAAUCUAUUAUCUUUCUUAUUCCAUCUUACCUAACCAAAUGCUAUUUUUUUUAUUCCAGGAAUAACCCAAUUUUCAUCCAAACGCAAAAUUGAUCUAAUCCUCGCUUAUACCUCAAUUUAUACCUAUCCCUGGAAUAGCCACUUUUUCCUUAUUCCCGAACCAAACGAUACCUAAGGGUACUAAAGUAAAUAUUAAAUAAACUUAGAUGAGAUAUUUGAAGUUUUUUAUAUAUAAUUUAACGAAAUAUUUACAGAAGAGCUAACGAAAAGAAAAAAAAUUAAACCACAAGAUACCAACUUGGUACACUUUAAAUCACAGAGUACUAAAGUGAGAAAAUACAAAACUACAGUAGUGAUAUUUGAAGUUUAUCCUAAUCUUUAACACUUCCUCCAUCCCAAUAUAUAUAAGUUAU
rnacentral:lncRNA from 1 species